GGAUUUUUUACUCCACCUUCCUCUGUUCCUGUUGAUAAGAUGUCUUCAGGGACCUGCACAAUUGUCUGGUGUCUGUUCUCUGAGUGUCUUAAUGUUUUCCUUGGUGUUUUGGUGCUGUGGGUGGUCGACACCAUGCAGACAGAACACACAGACAUUUAAGUGAGUGUGGAACAACGUAGCAACUUUCUAGAUCAGCCAAAGAAGGGCAAUUUUAGGCUAGGCUCUUGAAAACAACACAACCUUUUCUUCUGGACUGUGUCAUUUGUUCCACUCAACAUCAACUUUUAUUAACGGAACUGAUUGUCCACAAUAUGUUGUUUUAUUUUAGGAACAUAUAUCAUUGUAUUUUGUUAACGCUGGGCAUUUCCGUGUUUUUUAUGUGAACUCCAGGAUGCAGUGUGCUGACAUCUCAGCUAAGAAAGCCACAGAUGGACAGUGGGUGUUUGCCGAGGCCGUCUUUAACAGCACAGUAAUAGGGAGAAUCACAUUGUCCCAGCAGACCUUCCCUGAUGGCGGCUUCAGUGACGUCACUCUGGAGGUAGACGUGCGUUCGUCACAGGAAUACAACGUAACAGAGGUUUCCUGGUUCAUCACUAGUAAUCGCUCUGAGGUGAAUGACAUCAAAUGUACCGCUGUUGGGGACACAUUUAACCCCUUCAACAUGGAGACUGAGAGCUCCAGUUGCUCCAUAGACAGUGUUCUGGGGUGUGAGGUGGGAGAUCUAACAACCAGACAGGGUAAUGUCAGCUUGACACACAGACUGCUGUUCACUGACGCAAGCAUACAACUGGCUGGAGACUACACAGUGGUCCACAGGUCUGUGGUACUAAAGAGCGGCACCAAGGUUCUGGCGUGUGCCGACAUCCUCCCACAAUCCCCUUGGGCGGUGCAGACCUUCCCCGUUGGCACGUCUUUCAGCAGAUAUGACUUCCGCAGUAAGGUGGCGGAUGUUCUGGAGGUCGACGUGUCCAGGGUCACCAUCCUUCCAGGGUCUCCUGUGGCCACGAGGGACGGGACAUGCCUAGAAGUCAGCUAUCUUGUCUCAGGGGACGUGAGUACAGACAAGAUGAACUCUGUCAAAGACAGUCCGAAGAUGGGCCUGCUGAGACAGACAAAGGUUUGCUCAAGAAGUGCUGGACUACGAUGGGAGCCAGGGAGAUAUCUGACAGUGUUCACUAUAGCUGCAGCCUAUGUCAUACACUCUUUGAUGAUCCACCAGUAGUUCAAAUCCUGUACAUGUUAACCCUAAUAGGAAUAAACACUGGUACUUUUCCAAGCUGCAAUGAAGUUUACAUUUAAAUGCCAACUUCCUGUAUUAUAUUGUAAAAUGUCAAAGUUUGGAUGAAUAUUGCUGAGUAUUUUGUUUAAGGUCAAUAUCCAACAUCAGAGCAAAAUUAAUAAGACAAGAAUUGUUCAUUUGUGAAGCUGUGCAGUUUCUGCUCAUCCAACCUGCAGUUUUGGAAACUGAUGCUGUACAUUUAUUCCAGUCGGCCACUAUAUUCAUGCGUUUUCUCAUGGUUGUCACUGCCACAUUUCAAUCCAUUUUAUUUUCAAGUCUUGUUUGUGUUUUUAUUUAUUUACAAAGAUUUUGAUGAUUAAGAAAUAAAUUUGGAUACAUCCCUUUACAAC
ensembl:lncRNA